AGCACCAGAGAAAGAGAGUGAGAAGAGAGAGAAGUUCUGAAGGUGAAAGCCCAAGAAGGAGUUCUUGAGCUAUGAAGGUCCAUCUUCUUCCUUCUUCUUCCUUUCAGCCAACCUUCUGCCUCCCUGCGAGCUAGCACUCUCCGGAAAUCCGAUUAUUCCGGAGCUUCGCGUGGACGAGUCAUCGAGGCCGCUUGUGCGGCUACGAAGCAUCCUUGAAGGAACCUCCUUCUAAAGGUAAGAGAUCUGAUCUCUUUUAUGGUUGAGAUAUGAUGUCAAUCUUCAAAUCACAAGAAGUUGUGAUUUAUGCAUAUUUAUUUGAAUCACACAAUCCUCGGGAUCUGAGGACUUUGUGAUAUUUGGUGUCAAAGCAAAGGAUUAGUGGAGACUAUCCGAUUCCCGAAAACUCUCACGCGUGAUCGUGUGACGAAGCGUGGCUCUCCACCCAAGGGCUCAUAUGAUGAGUGCUUUGAUAGGCACGCGCAGGUGUCACCCUAUAUAUUGGGACUGAGCCCGCGCCACAUGUGAUGUGCAGUUGAAGACUGUCUUCGACUGGUACCAGAGUCAAAAUAUCUAAAAUAUCAAGCAUGUUUUGGGUUAAAAUGUUUAACCCAUUCUUUCCGCAUAAAAUUUUUGAAAUUCAUGCUUAGCCCUCUGCAUGCACACCAUCAGAAAGCACCGAGCCUCUUCCCCUCUUGUCGAACAAGGAGCAAGCAUCAAUUGACAUCCUUUGUCAGAUAAAGCCUUUAGCCUUGGUUGAGCUG
rnacentral:lncRNA from 1 species